rnacentral:lncRNA from 1 species
UAAUUCUUCAAUUCCAUAUUUUAUUCAUCAUCUAAUUGUAUCUCUACUAUUUUUAAUGAUUUUUCAAACUCACAUCACUGCUGCUGUCUGAAUCUAUUUUAUGGUAAAUUUUGCCUAUUUCAUGGUUUCCAUGGAUUAGCUAGCAAUUUAGCAUACAUAACACCAAAUAUGAUCAUGAUUAGCCAUUCCAAUGGCUAAUCAUUACCAAGCAUUUCCAUACCACUCAAUAUCCAUAUCAUAAGACCAUAUACACAAAAUGAUUAUAAUGCUAUACAUGCCAUACUCAAAAUAUACAAGCCAUUAUGCCAAGAUGGUAUACGGAUAGUGUGAGUGGGCCUCCGACUGUUUCCGAUUUCCGAGCUGGCUUGUCAAAACUACAAGGAAUGAAAAGGAGGGAGUAAGCAUAAAUGCUUAGUAAGUCCAUAUGAAAUUAAUAAGCAAUUACCAACAUACUUUUAAGAUAAAACACCACAAUUGUACAAUUAUACAUACUCAGCUUAAACUGUUUUAUCGAGAUACAUUUACUAAAUAAUUUAUUUCUGGAGCUAUGGAACUUCAAAUUAAGUUCCAUUAAUUUUCCUUGAAACUAGAUUCAUAUACCUUUCUGCCAUAAAAUUUCCAGAAUUUUUGGUUUAGCCAUUUAGUACAGUUUAUUCAUUAAAGUUUCCCCUGUUUCGCUGUCCAAUAGUUCUGAUCUCUCUUCACUAAAAAUUAUUUAUCUCAUAAUUCGGGACUUGGAUGAUGUUCCCGUCUAUCCAUCUUGAAAAUAGACUCGAUAAGGAUUUUAAAUAUAUAAAUUAAAACUCAUAAUUAUUUUUUUACAAUUUCUAAUGAUUUUCUAAAAUCAGAAUAGGGGAUCUUGAAGUCAUUCAGACUCUGUCUCACAACAAUUUAAAUAUCUCAUAACAUAAAAUCCAAUUGCAUGUAUCGUUUCCUCUAUAUGAAACUAGGCUCAUCAGGCUUUCAUCUCAUAUUUUACCCAGCCCGUAACUCAAUUUCCACAAUUUAUGGUGAAUUUCAAAAAUUACACUACUGCAGUAACCCAAAACUGCCAAGGCCAUAUUUAUUUAUUCACCACUAUUAUUCACUAAAUCCAUACAAUAUCAUUUCAUCCAUCAUGGUAAGAACACAUAAUUAUGCUUCAUAAGCAUAGAUCCAUAAUCUCAAUGUCAUCAAGUAUCAAGAACUUAUUCCAAAUCGUGUCAUUUUCAUAGUAUUCACCAAUUCUUAAUCUUUUCGGGCCAUUUUACAUUUUCGUUCAUAAUCAAAUUAGGGAACGAUUACGGAAUUGAGUACCUCAUUAUCACAAUGCCAUAGUAAAACUAUGGUCUUGCACAUAGUCACAUAGUCACAUAUCACAUACCGAGGCCAUAGCCCAGCCAUGGUCUUACACGGAUCACGUAUCACACUGAUGCCAUAUCCCAGAUAUGGUCUUAUACAGUAGCACAUAUCACAUUUCUCCGAAGCCAUAGCCCAAUUAUGGUCUUAUACGGAAAUCACAUUUCACAUGUUGCCAUGGCCCAACCAUGGUCUUUUCCGUCAAUUCUUCUUAGCCACUGAAUGAAAGUACUCAAGUCCGUUGUUCCAUUUAAUUUGUACUUUUAUUCAAAUAUCAUUUUACAAUUAUCACAGUUUAAUGACAUUUUAUAUGCAAUAAUAUACUAUAUCAUUCAUGAAAUUUUCAUUUCAAAACAUUAAAUUACACGUUGCAUUAUUAAAAAUCAUAUGAACUUACCUCGAUAUAAAAUAUUAGCAAUCGAGCCUAUUCCUCGUAAACUUUAUUUUUCCCUCGAUCACGACUUGAAUCUCGUUUCUCUUGAUAUGGUGCAAAAAUAUGAAAAACCAGCAUAGUAGACCUGCUACGGUGUUUCUGGCUGAGAAAGAUGAAGAAAU